CGGGGUGCCCGCGGCGUCGAAUUCUUUGUCAUACACGAAAGUGUGACAGGGCUAUCCCGAGUGCCAUCCGCUGAGGAAGGCUUUUACCCAGUCUAGAACGCUGGGGGAAUAAGGAGAGGGCAAGUCUGGUGUCAGCCGCCGCGGUAAUACCAGCUCUCCGAGUGGUGUGGAUGUUUAUUGGGCCUAAAGCAUCCGUAGCUGGCUAAGUUAGUCCCUUGUUAAAUCCACCGAAUUAAUCGUUGGAUUGCGGGGGAUACUGCUUGGCUAGGGGACGAGAGAGGCAGACGGUAUUUCCGGGGUAGGGGUGAAAUCCUAUAAUCCCGGGAAGACCACCAGUGGCAAAGGCUGUCUGCUAGAACGCGCCCGACGGUGAGGGAUGAAAGCUGGGGGAGCGAACCGGAUUAGAUACCCGGGUAGUCCCAGCUGUAAACGAUGCAGGCUAGGUGUUUGGACGGCCACGUGCCGUUCUAGUGCCGCAGGGAAGCUGUUAAGCCUGCCGCCUGGGGAGUACGAUCGCAAGAUUGAAACUUAAAGGAAUUGGCGGGGGAGCAC
rnacentral:rRNA from 1 species